rnacentral:rRNA from 1 species
GACGAACGCUGGCGGCGUGCCUAAUACAUGCAAGUCGAGCGAAGUUUUUCUGGUGCUUGCACCGGAAAAACUUAGCGGCGAACGGGUGAGUAACACGUAAAGAACCUGCCUUAUAGACUGGGACAACUAUUGGAAACGAUAGCUAAUACCGGAUAACAGCAUUAACUGCAUGGUUGAUGUUUGAAAGUUGGUUUUGCUAACACUAUGAGAUGGCUUUGCGGUGCAUUAGCUAGUUGGUGGGGUAAAGGCCUACCAAGGCGACGAUGCAUAGCCGACCUGAGAGGGUGAUCGGCCACACUGGGACUGAGACACGGCCCAGACUCCUACGGGAGGCAGCAGUAGGGAAUCUUCCGCAAAGGGCGAAAGCCUGACGGAGCAACGCCGCGUGAGUGAAGAAGGAUUUCGGUUCGUAAAGCUCUGUUGUUAGGGAAGAAUGAUUGUGUAGUAACUAUACACAGUAGAGACGGUACCUAACCAGAAAGCCACGGCUAACUACGUG